rnacentral:lncRNA from 1 species
UGUCAUCUUAAAUCCUUCAAAUAGCCAAGAAAGCAAAGUACUAACUUUUUAUAUGCUUAUAUAUCAGGUUUCAAUUCUCUAAACUUUGUUUCCUAUCUCAGCAAUUCCAUGGCCUUAUGGACUCUCCUUCUAAUAAUAUUUGUUUCUACAUUGUAUACAAGUCUUCUUCCUACAAAAUAAUCCCUUCUAUCAUUUGCUUAUUUUCUAUAGAUUUCUUUUCCUGUCCAUGCCUUUUCUUCUUGAAAACAUUUUAACUCUCUAUCCUUGAUGUCCCCAAGGUCACCUUUGCUAAUUAAUGCCUCAGUCAUUGGAACAGAGGGUAUAUGUAUCUUCUCACAAUUCCAAGUUCAAGAACAAGUCUCACCAUGAAUUUUAAGGUCCCUACAAAGAGCCAUGUAGAUUUUUAUGGCCUCUGUGGUUAUGUUGUCUAGAUCCUUUCCCAUGGCCCUAAAGGCCAAGCAGAAGGCCUGUUCCUCAUCCUCUACAGCCUCAUGACCACCUCAAUUCCUCAUUCCCAAGAACUGCAUGUUUCAUUUAUUAUGGAGUGAUUAGCUCUGAGUAAUGUGGGAUGUAUAUUCCCCAGAAAGAGAGAUAGAAAGUAAAAUAGAAGAGACAGCAGAUCAGCUUCAAGGCAACAGCAACUAUUAGCACACAUGUUGAUCAAUAGCCUGGUGAUGCGCCAGGGGCAGGAACUGUGUCACACCUCCUCUUACACAGCCAGGCUAGACCUGGCAGAAUACAGUUAAAAAUGCAUUGGUUUAGGAUAAUGAUAGUGAUUCCUCCUCUAGGACCUGAAGAGGAAAUUUCUAGUUGUGUCAUGCGAUGCAGAUUCACGUGAUGUUUUGCUGAGGCAAGACCCAUGGAAGGACACAUGAUGUUUUGAGAGCAUAUAAAUAGGAUUCAAUGGAAAGGAACAGGGCACUUGCAUAGCUAACAUUGCAAUACUUUGUCGGUCUUGUAUCUUCACUGAUCUUCAUUUAGUUGAGAGAGGCAUGGCAGAGAACUUCUCAAGGCAUUCUGGUUGGAUUUGGUUGUUCCUAUUAACUUUUACUAAUUCAUUAGAGGCCUGGUGGUUUGUUCUAGACGGUGCCACAAUUGCUGAUUCGUGUUUAGUAUCCUGACACUACAGAACUGGACAACAGAGAUUGGAAUCACCUCAAAGAACUACUUCUAAGCAGGUCCACAUCCCGUUGUUCUCUUUAUCAUUAUAUAUUCCCUACCUUUGGAUGAUGGGCUAGUAGGGAGGUUGAAGCAUUAGAGAACCCCUAUUAAAGUAUAGUUUUCCAGUUUUUUCCCCACCCCAACAAAUCCAGAGCUUUGUCCCAGUUUCUAGGUUAACCCCAACAGACAAGCAUCCCCAGAUUAAUCUCUCCCAAUAUUUCCAGGUUAAUUCCUAACAAGCCUACCCCCUGCCUAAUGACCACCAAUGCAGAAAUUUAGGGUUUGACUCCCAGCACCAACUAAUAUUGCUUGCCAGGCUAGAAAUGCCCAUUCCCCACAUGUUGUUUUCUAUAAAACCUUACCUUGAUAGAUAUUGGGCGCACCUCUCCACCAAAACUGUCCUACAUGCUGGCUGUGGGCUGAGGGGCCCAAGCUAGCUCAAAUAAAGGCCUGUUGUGAUGUGUAUCAGAUAGAUUCCUGUCUAGUUUUGGGGGUUCACUAACACUUCUCUUGGCACUACACAAGGAUCUAUGACCUCUCUACCCACAGGUGGUUGGCUAGAUUUAUAGUACCAGGCACAAUGCACUCCUGUUGAGCAGUCUAAUUAGAUAGCUACUGGGUACCACCAAGAUAAUAGUACCACUUAUUAAUUGUUGGGAUGUCUUUCCACACUGGUCAUUGCUAUGGCUCCAGGCUUGUAGGAAUUAGAUUGCCCUUCUCCCUUCAUUAUUUUUAUAUCAUCUUCUGAUUCUAUAAGGGCUAGUCCUCAGGGAGGAAGUUGUCACAUCAGUUCUAACUUGAUUUCUCCAAAUUGUAUGUCUAUAGUUUGUGAUUUCUUUAUAAUACAGGGUCUUACCUGUUGUGGAUUUGGUCUUGAGAAGGCUAGGAUGAAUCUAUGCCAAAUUUCGAAUUGGCAGUUAAGGAGACUAAAUCAAUUACUAAUUGAAAACAAAAACAAAAACCCGGCUCCAACUUCACCUCCUGGUAAUAGUUCCUGAAUGCCUAGAGAUAGAGUGACAUAAAGCUCAUCUACCCCAGAAUCCCAAUUGCUUUAAAUUGAGCCUGCAGCUCACUUGCUUGUCUCUCUAUCUCAGUAAUGGGAGACCCCAGCAUGCUGGAUUUCUGAAGAAUAAAGCACUCUUUGCAUGUAUAUACUGUUUGAGUCCCAGGUAUAAUUCACCAGUGAAUCUUAAGCCUUUACAUCUAGGGGCUCAUCCAGAAUUCACUGGAGACCCUCUGACCAAGUAGUAGAGUGUUUUUCCAGUCAUUAUGUCCAGUCUCCUGGUUGCCUUUUGUCUUAUCCAUACCUGUGUUUCUGUUUCAGGGUUAACUUUGGGUUUAAUCUGGAGGCCAAGAAGGACAAAACAAAUGCAUAUUUUGUUACCUGGCCAGGGGCAAUAGAAGAUUUACCCAAACCCCUACCAAAAGCUGUAGAACUUGCUAGUUCUCAUCUGGAUUCUGAACUACCUGUGGGUCUAUGGGCCACUCAUGCAUAGAGAGGGAGACCUUCUGAGGCAGCCUUUUGGUUUGUUUUUGUUUUCCUGGGAAUAUCCAUUUGUGUCUGUCUGUCUGUAUUCUGUUUGUGGUUUUGGUCCUCUUGUAAACUUUUUUCUUUGAUUCCUAGAUUGGGACAGGCACAAAUCACCCCACUGGGCCUGGGCCUGAACCAUUUUGAAGAUGUUUGCUGAGUCACAGAAGACUCGGGUCUGUUUUUUCAUCCCUGCAAACUAACCAUCUUUUGCAGGAAUGAAUGGCCCAUGUAUGGCCCGAGAAGGGGGCUUUUCAUCUCCCCUUCAUUUACAGGGAUUUAGUUUAUGAGGCUUGGGGCACACAGAACAAGUGCCAUGUGGCAAUACCUGUUUUAAGAAGGCCCCUGUUUAGAUGAAAUAUGUUUGUUAUGGGCUGUACUGCUCUCCGUCCUUCUUAUUCUAAAGGAGGGUCAGCUUUGGCCCCCUGUCUUGCUUCCCUGUUCUGCUCCCGAGGGGGAAUCUCUGUUUCCCUCCUUAUGUUCCUGAUCAUGCUGCCACUGCUGCUGCCCCUGCUCCUGCCCAGCCAGCACAGGCAGAGGAAAGAACAGCUCCUGACUUCCCCUGACUCUCCUGACUCCACUUGAAGUCCACCUCACACGCUGACCCAUACUGCCCAAAGGAUCAACUCUAUUACAGCCUUACACCUCCAGGCUACGGGACCCCCAGAUGUUCAGGGGAGACAGUUCAUGACAUGUGCCAUUUGCUAGUAUCUAUCUUUACAAUUAGAAAUUGCAGAAGUCCCCAUUUUUAGGAAGACCAUCAGCUCUCACAGAUCUUCUAUAUUUGAUAAUGCUGACUUACCAGCCUACCUGGGACAACUGUCAGCAUCUACUCCAGGUUCUACUCACAACAAAGGAAAUAGAGAGGAUUGUGGGAGUUGCCUGAAAAUAAGUUCCAGAAGCAAAUGGACUGCCCACUCAAAUCCAGGCUGAUAUCAAUGCAGCCUUUUCUUUGACUUGACCCAAGUGGGAUCUUUAACACUGCUGAAGGUAAGGAGAGGCUCUGUGUCCACCGCCAAAAUUCUGAUGGCAGGCCUUCAAGAGGCUGCCAGAUGGCCCACAAACUUAUGUAACUUAUGGUGAGCCAAGUGAUGCAGAAAAAAGAAUGAUAGCCCCAGAGAUUAUCUAGAAUGACUUUUCGAAGUCUAUAGAACCUAUACUCCUUUUGACCCAGAAGCCAGAGAGCACCAGUCGGCUGUGAACAGGGCUUUUGUUAACCAAGCUGUGCUUAACAUCUGUUGGCAGCAUCAGCCACUAAAUGGGAUGGCUUUGCAGCCUGCUUCUGCUGCCCAAAAGCCAGUGCUUGUUUGCCUUUGAAUGGCAAGACUUGAAGAGAGAAUUCAAGAGACAACUGACUUGGACAUGCCUCCCUCAAAGAUUCAAGAACUAGCCCAAGGCACUGCAUGAGGACUUGGUUGAGUACUAGUGGGCCCACCCCUAAAUAACUGUGCACCAGUAUGUAUUGCAGGUCCCCAACUUGGAGACAUGACAGGAGGCCCCAGGAGACCUGCUACAGGAGCUGAGUCAAGGUGGCUAUAGAGAUGACAUUUUAUAAAACACUAAUUUAAAAAUGUGUAAUUUCCCUGCGCCAUCUUGGGCGCGAUCUCGGCAGAGGGCCCCAAGGUCCCCAGAGGACUCUGCAUGCUGCAGGCACCCUGGCACAC